rnacentral:rRNA from 1 species
CGUGAGUGAUGAAGGCUUUCGGGUCGUAAAGCUCUGUCAAGUGGGAAGAAACCAUAUGGUGUUAAUAUCACCUUAUGUUGACGGUACCACUGAAGGAAGCACCGGCUAACUCCGUGCCAGCAGCCGCGGUAAUACGGGGGGUGCGAGCGUUAUUCGGAAUUACUGGGCGUAAAGAGCGCGUAGGCGGUCUUUUAAGUCAGGUGUGAAAGCCCGGGGCUCAACCCCGGAAGUGCACUUGAAACUAUGAGACUUGAGUAUGGGAGAGGGAAGUGGAAUUCCUGGUGUAGCGGUGAAAUGCGUAGAUAUCAGGAGGAACAUCGGUGGCGAAGGCGACUUCCUGGACCAAUACUGACGCUGAGGCGCGAAGGCGUGGGGAGCAAACAGGAUUAGAUACCCUGGUAGUCCACGCAGUAAACGGUGAACACUAGGUGUAGCGGGUAUUGACCCCUGCUGUGCCGCAGCAAACGCAUUAA